rfam:Gossypium raimondii Chr05_contig_812, whole genome shotgun sequence.
UAUUAAAAAUUUCAUCUAUUUCUAUUGUUAAAAAUUAGCGUGGUUGAUGGAAUAACCAAACAAUUACACUUAGCAUGCUACAUGCACCUUAUGUUGGUGUACAGAGGCCAAGUUUUAACAAUAGAAUUUGAUGAAAUUUUUAAUA